rnacentral:rRNA from 1 species
UACGUAGGGGGCAAGCGUUGUCCGGAUUUAUUGGGCGUAAAGAGCGUGUAGGCGGCUUUACAGGUCCGUUGUGAAAACUCGAGGCUCAACCUCGAGACGCCGGUGGAAACCGUAAGGCUAGAGUCCGGAAGAGGAGAGUGGAAUUCCUGGUGUAGCGGUGAAAUGCGUAGAUAUCAGGAGGAACACCUGUGGCGAAGGCGGGUCUCUGGACAGUUCCUGACACUGAGACACGAAGGCCAGGGGAGCAAACGGG